CGAACAAAACAUAAAUGUAUUGUAUAACAUGUUAUAAGACUGUCAUCUGAUGAAGUUGUUUCUUGGUUAGUGACUAAUUAUAUCUCUAUUUGGUCGGUUUUGUGAUAGCUACCGAUGCGGUAGAAACAUGGUGAAAAUAUGCGGUUGAGUCUUUGGUUAUUGUGGUUAGCUAAUAGAAAUACAUAUUGUGUUUUCGCUGUAAAACAUUUAAAAAAUCGGAAAUGAUGGCUGGAUUCACAAGAUGUUUAUCUUUCAUUUACUGUAUUGGACUUGUGAUUUCAUGAAAAUUAUAUUAUAUGAUAUCCCUGUCCCGUUAGGCUAGGCUAUGCUAGUCAGCUUUUUUGAUGAGGAGGAUUCCGGAUCUGGGAGAGAGAAGUGGUAGAGGGGUAUUAACUUUGUUUGGUAUACAGUAUUUGUAAGGCCUUAACCAUGCAUUUUUCCAGACAAUGUUCAUAUUGCUGUUCCUCUAUCAUUCCUUUCCCUCUUCCACGUGUCAUCAUUCUGCUCCGGAGUGGCUCGCUUUGUGGGCGUGCUGGCAGGAUAGGGCAGCGUCUUCAGUUGCGCAUCAAGAAUUCUGCAUACAGUAGCACGUUUGUAUGAAGAAAAGGAAGUCAAAGCGGACACCUACGAAGAUGGCAUCUCAGAGAGCGAGCAGAUUUACAGCCAUUUUCACUGGACUAUCUGUUGCUAAGUCAUGGGUUAGCCUUGCAAUAACCAAGUGGUGAGAAACACAGCCCUCUAUAUUUAAAUGUUUCAGGUACACUUUGAAAGGGGAUACUGUAUGUGACGCAGACACCUAUUGGCAUUAUCUUCUAUUGUUUGUCCUCAUGGGUCUGUUUUUCAGCUUAAAGUACUCUGUAGCCACUCACGUCAUCCCUCUCCCCCUAAAUCUUCUCGGUUAUAUCAGCUGUUUUGUUGAACCUCUCCCGCAUCUGAACUGGCUGACAGAGGGCACAGCCUGAUCAUAGGUAUGUUUUGAUGUGAGAGGAAUCCAGUCCCGACAGCGCAAUUGUGAUGAACUGAGAGAAUAUUAGGGUAGCACUGUCAUUCAUGAAUCAUAUGCUAUCUGCCGCUGUUCUUACCUCUCUCCCCACCUCAUCUUCUAAUGCACACCAUAUGUGCAUUGAAGUACAGAUUUGCCUACUUUUUUUUUUUUUUUAACUAGGCAAGUCAGAUAAGAAUGACGGCCUAAGAACUGCCUUGUUCAGGGGCAGAAGGACAGACCUUGUCGGCUCGGGGAUUCGAUCUUGCAACCUUCCGGUUACUAGUCCACCUACCCGCCCAAGAUUGAACUUGUAUUUAUAAUAUUACAAUUAAAAUGCACUUCUUUCAAUAAAGCGUUUCACAUUCUCCACUGGUUGAAAUACUAUCCUGUGUCCGUCCUCAGAUUAAUGGAGUUAAAUGUGCAUAGGUUUUUCUCUCUCUGUA